UAGAAGUUAGUUAAAAUUAUAACAUAUAUUUGUCAUAUAUAAAUCAUCCUCCUUUAGAUAUUUCUAA
rnacentral:tRNA from 1 species